CCUACGGGCGGCAGCAGUGGGGAAUAUUGCACAAUGGGGGAAACCCUGAUGCAGCAACGCCGCGUGAGUGAUGACGGCCUUCGGGUUGUAAACCUCUUUGACUGGGGAAGAGCAGAAGACGGUACCCUGAAAACAAGCUACGGCUAACUACGUGCCAGCAGCCGCGGUAAUACGUAGGUGGCAAGCGUUGUCCGGAUUUACUGGGUGUAAAGGGCGUGUAGCCGGGAAGGCAAGUCAGAUGUGAAAUCCGGAGGCUCAACCUCCGAAUUGCAUUUGAAACUGUUUUUCUUGAGUACAGGAGAGGCAGACGGAAUUCGUUGUGUAGCGGUGAAAUGCGUAGAUAUAAGGAGGAACACCGAUGGCGAAGGCAGUCUGCUGGACAGCAACUGACGGUGAGGCGCGAAAGCGUGGGGAGCAAACAGGAUUAGAUACCCCAGUAGUC
rnacentral:rRNA from 1 species